rnacentral:snRNA from 1 species
UUCCGCAGAGUUAAUUUCAUUCGCAUCACUCUUUCGCCUUUUACUAAAGAGCGCCGUGGGAUUGACUCACAAAAGCGGCUGCAAAAAAUUUCUUGAUCCCUCCACUGGAGGGG